rnacentral:rRNA from 1 species
CCUACGGGAGGCAGCAGUGAGGAAUAUUGGUCAAUGGACGAGAGUCUGAACCAGCCAAGUAGCGUGAAGGAUGACUGCCCUGUGGGUUGUAGACUUCUUUUAUAUGGGGAUAAAACGUUCCACGUGUGGGGUUUUGUAUGUACCCUAUGAAUAAGGAUCGGCUAACUCCGUGCCAGCAGCCGCGGUAAUACGGAGGAUCCGAGCGUUAUCCGGAUUUAUUGGGUUUAAAGGGAGCGUAGGUGGAUUGUUAAGUCAGUUGUGAAAGUUUGCGGCUCAACCGUAAAAGUGCAGUUGAAACUGGCAGUCUUGAGUACAGUAGAGGUGGGCGGAAUGCGUGGUGUAGCGGUGAAAUGCUUAGAUAUCACGAAGAACUCCGAUUGCGAAGGCAGUUCACUGGACUGCCACUGACACUGAGGCACGAAAGUGUGGGUAUCAAACAGGAUUAGAUACCCUUGUAGUC